rnacentral:lncRNA from 9 species
UUUUUUUUUUUUUAGCCACGUCUAGGGCCACUCCCAUGGCACAUGGAGGUUCCCAGGCUAGGGGUCGAAUUGGAGCUGUAGCCACCGGCCUACACCAGAGCCACAGCAACACAAGAUCUGAGCCGUGUCUGCAACCUACACCACAGCUCUCAGCAACGCCGGAUCGUUAACCCACUGAGCAAGGACAGGGAUCAAACCCGCAACUUCACGGUUCCUAGUCGGAUUUGUUAACCACUGAGCCACGAUGGGAACUCCACAACUUAUUUUUGUAACUGCUAUCUCAUAUAUCUGGAGGCCUUAAAUCAGAUUUUCAAAUUCAAUUGUCUGUCACAAAAACAAAUUAUGUGGAGGUGCACGUUCGUGGUAAAACUCUAAGAAACCAAGAAAAGCACUGAUACAAUAUUUGGAAGAGAAGUUAUCCCCCGGUAGAGGGUAGGUCAGGAGGAAGGAAGGAAAUAUGACCAGGAAGCACACAUGAGGGGCUUCAGAGGGAAUGUUCUAGAUGUUUAUUGGAGAAUUAUUCACUUAUAUUAUUAUAAGUUAACAGGUACACGUUAUAGAUACAUUAUUUAUCACGACAUGAAUUUAAAAGGAAACGAGGAGUUCCUAUUGUGGCUCAGCGGUAACGAGCCUAACUAGUAUUCAUGAGGAUGUGAGUUCAAACCCUGCCCUUGCUCUGUGGGUUAAGGAUCAAAUCCCGUGUUGCUGUGGCUGUGGUGCAGACCAGCAGCUACAGCUCCAAUUCGACCCCUACUCUGGGAACUUCCAUCUGCUGUGGGUGUGGCCCUAAAAAGACAAAAAAAUAAAAAAAUAAGAUAAAAAAAUGUUUUAAAUACAAGGAAACAAAAGAACAGACACAACACCAGGUCCUAUUUAAACUCCACAGCAACAUGAUCUGGAAAUAAGCCUGCACGUAACAACAAGGCUCUGAACUCAACAAAGUGGGAGGAAGCUGGUCAAAGAAUAAUUUACAGUGGCUGCAGGAUUUUCUCAAAGAGGGGAACGCCGGCCAUGACCUCUGCAGCAGAGGUCAGUGCUGCAGCAGCGAUCAUGCCCUGGGCGUAUGUGAUCCACUCAAUCGUCCGGAUGACAGUUGAGAGGAAAUAUUCCAGACCUGCUGUCCGCCCCCCGGAGCCACGAGCAGUGGAGAGAGUCACCCAGCCCCAUCGGCUGGAAAAGGAGCCUGAGCCCACAGCCCUGGCUGUGCCCACACUGUCCACAUACAGGGACGUUUGAUAAAGGCUCCUGAAUUCUCUCUGCAUGACUUCUGUCAUUGCCGAAGUGUCUUUCGCUUCAUGAUCCGGCUUCUAGAAGCUCAUCAACAGGCAAAGAAGAUGCUGAUCACGUAGAUUUUCUUGUUGCUGUUGUUAAGGCAAUGUCAGCUUUGUUACAAUUAACGAUGACGGCUAAUCGUGCUCGAGUGCUUAUCCCACUUGAUCCUCACAAUCAUCAGAAUCCGACUGCGAGGCAGCAGAGGGAAGCCAUCAAGAGCACCAGGCUGCUGAGAUUCAAACCCUGGCUCUAACCCUUAACAGCUGUGUAACCUCGAGCAACUGGCUGAACCUCUCUGGGCUCCGGUCUCUGCAUCUGCCAAGUGGGAAUUAAGGUAGCACCUACCUCAUGGGGUUGUUGUGAAGAUUAAAUGUGUUAAUGGUCCUAAAGUACUGAGACAGCAGCUGCCACAUAGCGAGUACAAUAUAAAUGGUUGCUGUUGCUCCAUUUCACAGACAAAACAACUGAGGCUCAGGCGGUAAUGCCCAAAUUCCGUAGCUACUCCACGGCAGCUCGUCCAACCCAAAUAUGUUAGGCUUCGGACCCCGGGUGCUUAACCACCAUGCUUGUUAUCAACCAUCAAGAGGAAAACUGAACUUCCCAUCGUGGCGCAUGGUUAACAAAUCUGACUAGGAACCAUGAGGUUGCAGGUUCGAUCCCUGGCCUUGCUCAGUGGGUUAAGGAUCUGGCGUUGCCGUGAGCUGUGGUGUAGGUUGCAGACAUGGCUCGGAUUCCAAGUUGCUGUUGCUGUAGUGUAGGCCAGUAGCAGCAGCAGCUCCGAUUAGACCCCUAGCCUGGGAACCUCCAUAUGACGAGGGAGCGGCCCAAGAAAAGGAAAAAAGACAAAAAAAAAAAAAAAAAAAAAAAAAGAGGAAAACUAACCCUGGUCUCUGUGCCUUCUUGGAUCCUCCUCAACCUUGGGGUGUGUUGGUUAGACAGCCAGACUCCAGACCUUGGAAACAGAGGCCCCAACUCCCCAGCUUCCUGGGUCAGCCCAGCAGCAGGCGAACUUCCCUUGGGUCAUUAACCAGGACAACAGACAGCUAUCUCCCUGCUGACUGCCUGCUGAACUUCCAUUCUCAGAGGCAGGAACUGUCCCGAGUUCUCCAUUCCUGGGAAAAUGGACACAGGACCCUAUGGUCCUUCCCCCCGUCACCGGUGUCCUCCACCUGCCUUUUGUCUGUAGAAAAAAUUUAGUCAAAGAAUAAGUUCAGGAGAUCCCCCUCUGCCGCAAUGGGAUCAGCAGUGUCUUGGGAGCACUGGGAUGCAGGUUCGAUACCUGGCCUGGCACCAUGGGUUAAGGAUCCGGCACUGCCACAGCUGCAGCUUGGGUCAAAACUGCAGGUAGGAUCUGAUCCCUGGCCAGGAACUCCAUAUGGCACAGGUGGCCCAAAAAAUGGAAAAAAAAAAAAGAGGAGUUCCGUGUCAUGGCUCAGAGGUUAACGAAACCAACUAGUAACCAUGAGGUUUCGGGUUCGAUCCCUGGUCUCGCUCAAUGGGUUAUGAUCCAGCACUGUGGUGAGCUGUGGUGUAGGUUGCAGACGAGGCUCGGAUCCCGAGUUGCUGUGGCUCUGACGUAGGCCGGUGGCUACAGCUCCGAUUGGACCCCUAGCCUGGGAACCUCCAUGUGCCGCAAGUGCGGCCCUAGAAAAUCCAAAAAAAACCAAAAAAAAAUACGUUUAAUCAGAGAAGUAAGAAAACGCAGAAGCAAAGGAAAACAGUCAAACACGAGCAAAUAAUAAGAGUUGAGUCAUUAAGCAAAGUCAAGGGCUUUUAGUUCCUCUUCAAGGGCUGUAGAUGAUAUUCGGAGCCUUGUCCUGUGAACUGUCUUGUAGACACUGAGAACCCCACCAGGUGGAAGACGUUAACCAAACGAUGACCAGACUGUAGCCUGGACAUAAGAUGCCAGAAUUCAGAGAACUGGCCUCAAAGAUAUGGGAACGAACUGACCCUGGAACUGAUGGUUAACUGUACUUCAAACAGUUAAAAUGAUGUUGAUCAGACAACACAUGACCCAUUUGGAGAUGACUGUCAGCGCUGACUGUGCUGUUCUGCAGGCUAGCCCCCCUCUCUCCACCUUGCCCACUGGUUGUCAGUGGGGGGAGUCAGCCUCUUGGACAGAAGUCUGCCUGUCCUCCCCCCAGCUGCUAGCAUCCAAAAUAAAGCCAACUCUCUUUUCCACCAACCUUGCCUCUUUAUUGAAUUUAGACCAACAAGCAGACCCCACUUUCAGUAACACUAGUCAUUUUCCAAUUAGCAGAUACAAAAUAUAAGUUCUUAGGUAACCCUGGACAGGUUCAGACUACCCCCACUCUGCCUUGAGUUGGCUAGAAGGCAGCAAGCUUCCCUUCCAAGCCUUUCUCAUCUACCCGAGCCCAGGUCCUCUACAUCUGCAAAGGGCGGGCAAACAGGAACAGGCCGACUGCCACCAGCAGGCCUGGAGACAAAAGCUAUGGUGCGGGACCUCUGCUGAGACCACAUGGCCUUGCCGGGCGACCUACCUCCCUGAGCCUUGGCUUCCCCACUCAGGAAGCAGAGAAAUUAGAACCGAUGAUCUGGUGCUCCCUUGUGGUCUUUGAUCUUUCUAUCCACAUUUGAACUCAGAGCCAAAUCUCAUUGGAGUUAUCACAUUCAAAAACAACUCAAAAUGAACCACCACUAUAAGAUCAGGCUGCUUCCUUUCUUUGUUUUCUUUUCAGGGCCAUACCCAAGGUUUAUGGAAAUUUCCAAGCUAGGGGUUGAAUCCGAGCUACAGCUGCCAGCCUAUGCCACAGGCACUGCAACACCAGAUUCGAGCCAAGACUAUGACCUACACCGCAGCUCAUGGCAAUGCUGGAUCCUUAACCCACUGAGCGAGGCCAGGGAUCGAACCCACAUCCUCAUGGAUACUCGUUGGAUUUGUUUCUGCUGUGACACAGUGG